rnacentral:rRNA from 1 species
GAUGAACGCUGGCGGCGUGCCUAAUACAUGUGAGUCGAGCGAACGGACGAGAAGCUUGCUUUUCUGAUGUUAGCGGCGGACGGGUGAGUAACACGUGGAUAACCUACCUAUAAGACUGGGAUAACUUCGGGAAACCGGAGCUAAUACCGGAUAAUAUUUUGAACCGCAUGGUUCAAAAGUGAAAGACGGUCUUGCUGUCACUUAUAGAUGGAUCCGCGCUGCAUUAGCUAGUUGGUAAGGUAACGGCUUACCAAGGCAACGAUGCAUAGCCGACCUGAGAGGGUGAUCGGCCACACUGGAACUGAGACACGGUCCAGACUCCUACGGGAGGCAGCAGUAGGGAAUCUUCCGCAAUGGGCGAAAGCCUGACGGAGCAACGCCGCGUGAGUGAUGAAGGUCUUCGGAUCGUAAAACUCUGUUAUUAGGGAAGAACAUAUGUGUAAGUAACUGUGCACAUCUUGACGGUACCUAUUCAGAAAGCCACGGCUAACUACGUG